rnacentral:rRNA from 1 species
UGCUGAUAACAUUCUGCCCUAUCAACUUUCGAUGGUAAGGUAGUGGCUUACCAUGGUGAUUACGGGUAACGGGGGAUUAGGGUUUGAUUCCGGAGAGGGCGCCUGAGAGAUGGCGACCACUUCCAAGGAAGGCAGCAGGCGCGCAAAUUACCCAAUCCUGACACGGGGAGGUAGUGACAAGAAAUAGUAAAGCGGGGGGCUUGUCCCGCCGCUAUUGCAAUGAGGGCGAGGUAAAGGAACCACCGAGAACCAACUGGAGGGCAAGUGAGGUGCCAGCAGCCGCGGUAAUUCCUUCUCCAGGAGCGUAUAUUAAAGUUGAUGCAGUUAAAAAGCUCGUAGUCGGGGUGUUGUUGGGCUUUGGCUGGUGUGGGGUGACCUGCAGCGGCCGGACCCGGCAGGUGUGUGGGGAUGGGCUGUGGUGUCCUUGAUUGGGCGGCAUGGCCGGCCCCGUCUUUACUUUGAAAAAAUUAGAGUGUUCAAAGCAGGCGUGUGCCUUGAAUAGAUUAACAUGGAAUAAUGGGACAGGACCUUGGGGCUGUUUCGUUGGUUUUUAGACCCGAGGUAAUGAGAAAUAGGGACAGUAGGGGGUAUUCGUAUUUAGUUGUCAGAGGUGAAAUUCUUGGAUUUACUACAGACGAACAUCUGCGAAAGCAUCUACCAAGGAUGUUUUCAUUGAUCAAGAACGAAAGUUAGGGGAUCGAAGGUGAUUAGAGACCAUCUUAGUCUUAACCAUAAACGAUGCCGGCUCGGGAUGGGGGAGGGGUGUUUGCCCCCCUCCGCACCGUGUGGGAAACCAAAGCGUUUGGGUUCCGGGGGGAGUAUGGUCGCAAGGCUGAAACUUAAAGGAAUUGACGGAAGGGCACCACCAGGUGUGGAGCCUGCGGUUUAAUUUGACCCAACACGGGGAAACUCACCAGGUCCAGAUUUUGGAAGGAUUGACAGAUUGAGAGCUCUUUCUUGAUUCAAAAGGUGGUGGUGCAUGGCCGUUCUUAGUUCGUGGACUGAUUUGUCUGGUUAAUUCCGAUAACGAACGAGACCUUGAUGUGCAUGCUGGGCGCGCGGGGGGCGACCCCGGGCGGGCCCACCAUGACAGACUGUCGGCGCGAGCCGGAGGAGGUGCGAGGCAAUAACAGGUCUGGAAUGCCCUUUGAUGUUCUGGGCCACACGCGCGCUACACUGGCGGGAGCAGAGGGUUGGGGUGGCGGAAGCCGUGCCAAAUCCUGGAAAGCCCGCCGUGCUGGGGAUUGGUGCUUGUAAUUGUUCACCAUGAACGAGGAAUACCUUGUAGUCGCGUGUCAUCAGCGCGCGACGAAUACGUCCCUGCCCUUUGUACACACCGCCCGUCGCUACUACCGAUUGGGCUGGGGAGUGAGGUUUCGGGAUUUGGGCGGGGGUGGGGGCGACCCUGGCUCUGCUCGGAGAACUUGACCAAACUAUCCAGUCUAGAGGAAGUAAAAGUCGUAACAAGGUU